AGUGAACGCUGGCGGUAGGCCUAACACAUGCAAGUCGAACGGCAGCACAGUAAGAGCUUGCUCUUACGGGUGGCGAGUGGCGGACGGGUGAGGAAUACAGCGGAAUCUACUUUUUCGUGGGGGAUCACGUAGGGAAACUUACGCUACUACCGCAUACGCCCUACGAGUGAAAGCAGGGGAUCUUCGGACCUUGCGCGAUUGAAUGAGCCGAUGUCGGAUUAGCUAGUUGGCGGGGUAAAGGCCCACCAAGGCGACGAUCCGUAGAUGGUCUGAGAGGAUGAGCAGCCACACUGGAACGGAGACACGGUCCAGACUCCUACGGGAGGCAGCAGUGGGGAAUAUUGGACGAUGGGCGCAAGCCUGAUCCAGCCAUACCGCGUGGGUGAAGAAGGCCUUCGGGUUGUAAAGCCCUUUUGUUGGGAAAGAAAAGCAGCAGGUUAAUACCCCGCUGUUCUGACGGUACCCAAAGAAUAAGCACCGGCUAACUUCGUG
rnacentral:rRNA from 1 species